ACUAUCCUGCCUUCCAACUGCAUAAGUUAACUUUGCCUGUUUUUGCAGAUGCCACUGGGAUCAUACAGUGUGCGCUCUUCUGGAACUUCCCAGAUCUCCAUGUGCCCUCACCUUCAGUGACAGUCUGAGAAGAAGCCAGGUGGGGUUGCUCCCCACAUGGUCAGGGCUGCUGCCAAAUGCCACUCAUCUCACCGUCACCUGCUGCCUCUCUGCCUGCCCCGUGGCCCAUGGUUCUCUGACAUCUCUCUCUCACUGAGGACUGUCCACUGAGAGGUCUGGAAACAAUGACACUCCUAGAACAAUGAGCACAUCUAGCACCCAGAUCUUGGCUUCUACACAUCAUUCUCUAUUAAAAGAAAGAAGCAUCCCUUGGAGCAAUGGCUGAUUCCAGAGCUGUGGCAGAGAAAGUACAAGAUGAGUCUGGAACAUCUUGCUGUGACAGAAAGUAAGCAAGUGCUCAAAGAAUUAUGGCAAUAGAAACCAGCUUGGCAGCUGGACAAAAUCUGGGAAAUUUUAAGCAUCAAAAUAAAUAAUGAGGUAAUGAGGAAAACACUCAA